UGGGGAAUUUUGGACAAUGGGCGAAAGCCUGAUCCAGCAAUGCCGCGUGUGUGAAGAAGGCCUUCGGGUUGUAAAGCACUUUUGUCCGGAAAGAAAUGGCUCUGGUUAAUACCUGGGGUCGAUGACGUUACCGGAAGAAUAAGGACCGGCUACCUACGUGCAAGCAGCCGCGGUAAUACGUAGGGUCCAAGCGUUAAUCGGAAUUACUGGGCGUAAAGCGUGCGCAGGCGGUUGUGCAAGACCGAUGUGAAAUCCCCGAGCUUAACUUGGGAAUUGCAUUGGUGACUGCACGGCUAGAGUGUGUCAGAGGGGGGUAGAAUUCCACGUGUAGCAGUGAAAUGCGUAGAGAUGUGGAGGAAUACCGAUGGCGAAGGCAGCCCCCUGGGAUAACACUGACGCUCAUGAACGAAAGCGUGGGGAGCAAACAGG
rnacentral:rRNA from 1 species